rnacentral:rRNA from 1 species
GGUAUAAAUCCCCAUGUUAUCAUAGGUAAAUUAUCUCUUGGAUUUAUGAGAUUACUCAUAACUCUGAUUUCCACUUCGCCUCUCUGUCUGGAUGUUAUAAGAACCCAAAUAUUGGGUAGAAUGUAUGGAAUGCUAUUAAUGUGAUUCUCAUCCUUCUAUGAAGGAAUCCUCUCUUUUAUCUUUCUGUCCUUGAUAUAAGCAUUAAUAUCUAUCACUUUCCUUUCGUCCCAAUUCAUUUCAUGGUCAUUCACGAGUGACGGAGAAUUAGGGUUCGAUUUCGGAGAUGGAGCCUGAGAAACGGCUACCACAUCUAAGGAAAGCAGCAGUCGCGAAAAUUACCCAAUCCUGACUCGGGGAGGUA